rnacentral:lncRNA from 1 species
CCUAUCUGUACAUAUGCACACUUUGUUUUACAACAUACUCUCCCCCUUCUUCUGCAAUAUCAGCCGAUCUCCAUUGCUUCCACCAAUUUUCCUUGCUGUUUUCAGUGUUUAGUAGCUGUAAUAUUCUACCUGAUUACUCCCUUUCCUUAAUUGUAUGUAAACCCUUUGAUAUAUGCAUGUAUGUGUUGGCUGUGAUUAGGGUUUCGGCCCAAGAGGUGUCUUUGUUGUGCGAUUGUAUGAGAAAGGAGGCUGCGAGCCUCACCUGGGUCCAGAGCUCGUGAAAACGAAUCUUCCCAAGUGAAGGCUGGCCAUGGCGAUGAACUGCAGUGAGCCAUGGCCGGGGUUUUGUGAUAUUUUGAUUGUUGGGUUGAUUUUAAGGCUUGAUUUAUGAUUGAUUGUUGUUGCGUGUCAGUUUUUAGUAUAGAGUUAGUGAUUACAAGUAUUAAUUAGUUUUGGGUAAAACUGAAUCAUGAGUUUCUUUGUUGUUUUCGGUCGAAUCUCUACUUGAGCUACUUUGAUUUAUGAUCCUUGCUAGCUGCAUGAGGUUCUUGGUGACCGAUUAUAUGUGUUCAAGGGCUCGUGUGUAGAGAAUUGAUAUAUUGGAAGUUGCAUAUUAGUUCUUAGGCCUUAAUAGUCAAUUUUUGGUGAUGCUUAAGAGUCAAUUUGUGAUACCAUGCUGCUAGGACAAACCUGCCCUGUUUUGAUAUGCUUAAGAAUGGUGUGAAAUUGUUGUUGGUUAGUGUGUAAAUUACUGAUUUUGUAAGUGCCUUGAAGUGUAGUUAAGUGGGAAAAAUAAAUUUGAGAUUUCGUUUAGUAAAACUAAAGUAAUAUGAUUUUAUUGUAUGAACUAGUUUAAAAUUCUGGAAGCUGAUUUUUUUUUUCUGUUUUGGAUACUAAUUAAGCAUGUUGAGAGUAGUUGUAAAAUAUCAAAACCUCUGUAACUAGAUGCUAUGUAGAGACUUCUGUGAUUACCAAGAAAAAUUACUUGAUUUGGAUAUGUAUAAUUAAAGUUAUGAAUUUUGUAAGCUAAUAGUGUCAACCUCCCUUCUAUAGUUGCAAUUCUGUUGUGUACUUCAUUUUCAAAAAUGCAUAAUUUAAUAACCACAUGUCCAAAUCUGCUUUUGUUGUUUUUAUAAUGUGGUUAUGUCAUUAAUCUUUGGUUUGUAUUCUUUGAAUAUCAUGAUUUGAGGUCGUUUUGUAUUUUAUAAAAAUUGGAUUAGCUAGAUAUGUCAAAACUGUCCAAGUCUGCCCUGUUUUGCUAAAUGAGAUAUUGUGCAAGUUCGAGAAAUGAUAAAAUGAUGAAUCUUUUUGGAUUGACUAGAUAAUUCCAAUUAUGAUAUUUUCUGUUCAUAUUUCUUAGAGAAAAGACUUGAUAUAUCAUGCUAUAAACUGAAGUAAUUGAGAUACUUGCUGCUGAAUGGUGUUAAAUAGUUGACUUAAACUUUAAAUUCCCGUUUCGUUACUUGAUCAAUUUUUUCAUACCUUAUAUGGUUAGAAAGCUCUUUGAAUAUCGUACCUUUCUUGAUUGAUUUUCAUUUGAUAUUGAGAUAGCCUAAUGUUAGUAAAUUGCUAAUCUUUCAGUGGCUGUCCGGCAGUUUAUGUGACUGAGAAAUAACUGUAAAUUAGACAAUAAUUUUAUGUGUUAGAUGUAUGAUAUCUGUAUAUAUGCAUAUGUGAGAUUCUUGUUUAUAUGUUAUGUGUAAAUAAUAUAUUAUGUGGUUGUUGUAUAUUAUAUAUACAUUAUUUAUUUAAUUAUUAUUUCCUUGUUUCAUUUAAUUCUUAUUUGAUUAUAUAAUAUUAUAUACUAUUAUCUUAAUAUUUGUAUAGAAUGUAAAGUAUGAUUGUUUUUUUUUAAUCGCGAAUGGGUAGAGAUGAAAUCGAAUAGUGACACAUUUUUUAUAACUCUUUAUAGGUCCGAGUAGGCGAGCAGGAAAAGAGCCAAUCGCCGACCAACCCUAAACUUGAAGCUGUGUUACACGUUUCUCAAGGCAAGUAUAUUAUCCAACCAACUUGGUUAAAGAUUUUGAUGCCAUGAUUUGAUACUUGAUUUUUAGAAUAUUAAAAUUUUGUUUAUCAUUGAAAUCAAAGUUUAAAACUCUACUAGUUGCCAAGUAUUCUAGAUUGUUAUAAACGAAGAAAUUGUAUAACCUUUGAUGCUUUAACCUAUCAUAUUUCUCCCCUAUAAACUUGAUUCUCUAGAACCCUGUUAUAAGCUUACAAUAACACUAAGAACUGAUACCUUGAAUUCUUCAAUGUUAACAAACGAGAAGUAUUCUUCACCUAAUAGACCACUUCACUUGGUUGUUAUAUGAACCUAAACACUUAACCCUCAAUAGCUAUUUUCCCAGCCGGUCACCUUUUCAUUUACAAAAAUCUGUAGCGGGGAUCCUCAUGUUUAUAUAAGGCCAAAGUGUGCCUAGGAUCCUUUAUAUUUGAGAACUCGUAUUGGAUAAGAGGGUUCGGAGCUUUGUCGUGGGCUGAUCACCCAGCUUAGUUCGUAGCGUUUUAUCUGUUUCCAGUUCCAUAAAAAUGAAACUGUUUUGCUUAAAUCAUAUUAUGUUGAUUAAUCUUUAAAGCAUGUUACAUUCUUGAUAUCAUUGCCAUGCUUUACAUACUAUUUAUGAUUUACUGUUGGGUUGGAUAUUAUAUACUUGCUAGGCACUUUAGCUCAAUAUUUUAACUCUAUUUUAAAGUUAAACCCGAAAGUGGUGCAUUUGCUACAGACCGUCCGUAAAAACUUUGGAGGGUCGGGAACUGACUUCAGGCGUCGUUUCACUCAGGUAGAUCUGAGAGUUCA